rnacentral:rRNA from 1 species
AGAGUUUGAUCCUGGCUCAGGACGAACGCUGGCGGCGUGCUUAACACAUGCAAGUCGAGCGGAAAGGCCCUUCGGGGUACUCGAGCGGCGAACGGGUGAGUAACACGUGAGCAACCUGCCCUUAGCUUCGGAAUAGCUCCGGGAAACCGGAAUUAAUACCGAAUAUGACUGCGGCUGACAUCGGCCACAGUGGAAAGUUUUUCGGCUAGGGAUGGACUCGCGGCCUAUCAGCUAGUUGGUGAGGUAACGGCCCACCAAGGCGACGACGGGUAGCCGGCCUGAGAGGGCGACCGGCCACACUGGGACUGAGACACGGCCCAGACUCCUACGGGAGGCAGCAGUGGGGAAUAUUGCGCAAUGGGCGAAAGCCUGACGCAGCGACGCCGCGUGGGGGAUGAAGGCCUUCGGGUUGUAAACCCCUUUCAGCAGGGACGAAGCGAAAGUGACGGUACCUGCAGAAGAAGCGCCGGCUAACUACGUGCCAGCAGCCGCGGUAACACGUAGGGCGCAAGCGUUGUCCGGAAUUAUUGGGCGUAAAGAGCUCGUAGGCGGUCUGUUGCGUCCGCUGUG